GGUCCGAUAAGCCCACAGCACAUGACGAAGCUCAUCUAUCCAGGACUGCCCUAUCCAGUCUAACCUAGCCUUUAAGCCCUAUAGGAGAGUUCUAUUGGUCACCUCCACCUCUCCAUUUGCCUAUGGGUGGCUUACCGAGGUGAAGCAGUACUCUAUUUCAUAUUCUCUAUAGAAUCCACAAAGUCGAGCACCACUGAAUUCUCUGCCAUUAUCUGUAAUCAGCAUUUUGGAAAGACCAUAGCGGU
rnacentral:lncRNA from 1 species